GACAGCUGACUAUUGAAACGUUGGUCUUGUUAAAAAACAAUUUUUAUACCCAUUUGAGUUUAGAGUGUGCGGCUUUUUCAUUCAUUUUGUUCCUUAUUUACAAACAAGAUUGUUAAAAUCUUUCUCUGCAAUGCCAUAAGACCAACCCACCUCCACAGUACCUACACAGUCCUCUUCAGACACCAAACUCAGGAUGCCGUACAUCACAGAUAUUGAUGUUUCCAUUUAUCCUGAAGAGGAGCAAGGCCUAAGGAACCAAGGUUUCCAAGGAAUCAAUGUUGAUUUAAACAAAGGCACUAGCGGAAACCAUAUUUACCUCUGGUACAAGAACGGCAGCAGCAAUCCCAUCACCAGAUUGCAGGUUACAUUCAGAGAUGACAUGCAAAUUGGUUUGAGAAAUGCAGGUUACCAUAAGGUGGAUAGAGACCUCAAAGCAGGGGCUGGAGGAGAUAACAUCUUUCUCUGGUACUACAAAGGUACAACUGAGUAUGACAACCCUAUAGUGGAUCUUAAGGUUACCAAAGAUGCAGAAGAUGAAGCCCCAUUUUACAAGAAUGACUGGGAACGACUGGCGUGUGACCUGAAUGCAAAAGCUAAAGGGCUACACCCGUGUGGAUGAAGAUGUGAAUCGAGGUGCAGGAGGAGCCUUUGUCUUUCUUUGGUAUCGUCCUUCCCUAACACAGUCCCAAUGGUUCAAUCAACUGGAUGUCCACUAACCACAAUGAAGAGGAAAGCCUUCAGGAACAGGGUUAUUAAAAAAAAAAAAAAGCCAUAUAGAUGGCAAAAUGAGUUCCUACACUAGACUAGUGAACACUUGUUUUAUCAUUCUAACAGAUAGUAAGUGACUCCCUGAGAUAUUGCUUGCUCCCAUCUGCCAUUGUCUAUAGGCUUGAGGAACAAUAAUUGUGUCUCUUUGUGAUACAGAUGAAAGAGAAUGUGCAGCUUCUCCAAUUGACAAAAGAAUCUUGCCUGGCCUCCGUUUGACCAAAAUAAAUGCAGCAUUUUAUGAUUCACUUUGUAUGAACCCAAAAUAAUUAAUGGGCACAGCAGUUUGUGAAUCACUAUAAUUCCAUUGUUAUUACAAUCAUAUUAUCUUUUAUAACAAUGCAAACAUGUUAUAUUUCCACCCUUCAACAUGUCAACACAAACCCUAUACAAACUCAUAUUACUUGCAGUAUGUCCCCAUUGUUCAGGACCUUAAUUAAACCUGAAAAAUAAAAAUAAAUAAAAAUAAAAACCUUACAAUGCUUUUAGCACUGUGCAAGUGGGUUUUGAAAUUAAAACAAUGGGUUUUUGUCUAUUCAACAAACAACUAAAUGUGAUUUCAACAUUACACCCUCACAAUUACACAUCUGAUGUCUCAUGUGUGAUGUGUAAGUGUGGGGGUGUGAUGUAGAAAUCAAGGCAGGACACAUUUGCUGUGAGACCGCAGGAACAUUUUACUUGAAUUAACAGGAACAAAACUAAAGACUACACAGGACAGAACAACAUUACAAAUGGAAACACCCAAAAAAAUAAAAAAAGACUGACAGGGAACAUUGGGCAAGCUGGAACUUAAAUAGGGUCCGUGGGAAAACAGGUUUUCUUGAUGAAUUGAGGGAGAGAAGGCAUUGGAUUCACUGGCCCGGCAGGGCGCCAAGCCAGAACGUGACAGUACCCCCCGAAGGCAUGGCUCCAGCCGCAAGACAAAGAAUACAGGACACUUGAAGGGGCUGGGGACGGGGUACGGGAGAAACCAAUGGCGGCAGCCACCAAACCCGGUGGUCCACUGAAGCACCGUCAGCAACCAGAACAGCCGAGCCCCAACAAACCAACAUGGACCAGAAGUGGCUGGCUGAGGCUUAGCACCGGCGCCGUAGACUGGACAGUGGGAACAGGGCAGGGACUUCCGGGGCACUCUCCUCUCCGGCACCUGCUGGGCCGGAUGCCAUGUUUGUACUCCCGGGUCAGCCUCCGUGGGGGUCCUGCGAUGGAGGUGGCACCCCAUAGCAUCCGGCACUCUGGGCACCCCUCAUGACCGGCCAACCCGGUCGCUGCACCCACUGUCAUACCCCCUCCCACCCAAGAAAAAAAAACAUGAAACAAAUGAAUGUAAUGUAUUAGGAAAAUAUUAAUAAUAUAGUUUUUUUUCUUUUAAAAAUUGCAUAUUAAUUUGGGAAAAAAAUACAUUUAUGGAUUAUUCAAUUGGAUUAUUCCUAUUGUUUCCGAAAAGCAGUUCAAGAGCAC